rnacentral:rRNA from 1 species
CCCUAUGGGGUGCAGCAGGGAAUUCAAAAAUAACAGCCAAGUCAUCGACCUUGAGGAAGCCCGGCAGCUCCGGAAACGGAGAAGGGAAGAAGCGGCGGAAAAGAAAUAUAAGGUAAGAAAGACCAAGUCUGUAGUCACGCAGCGUCAGGCGGGAAAAAAAGCCCGGCGCAGACUGAUAUACCUGGUCAUUUUUCUUGCCAUUGUCUGCGUCAUCGUCGUGUCCGCAUUCAACAUCAUCAAUCUCAAACUCACCGAGGCCAGGGCCCUGAAGGAGCAGCAGGACCUGCUGGCGCAGAAAGCCAGGUUGGAAAGGAUCUAUUCCCAGGUCAACAGUCCGGAAUACAUCGAGCAGCAGACCAGACAGCAGCUGAAAAUGAUACGGCCCGGCGAGAUUUUAUACGUUCUGCCGGAUAAGGAUAAUAGUAAAAAAACGACAGGCGGGGGGGC